rnacentral:rRNA from 1 species
CAGUAGCCGCGGUAAUACGGAGGGGGCUAGCGUUGUUCGGAAUUACUGGGCGUAAAGCGCACGUAGGCGGCUUGGUAAGUUAGAGGUGAAAGCCCUGAGCUCAACUCCAGAAUUGCCUUUAAGACUGCCGAGCUAGUAGGUGAGAGAGGUAAGUGGAAUUCCGAGUGUAGAGGUGAAAUUCGUAGAUAUCGGAAGGAACACCUGUGGCGAAAGCGGCUCACUGGACCAUAACUGACGCUGAGGCGCGAAAGCUAGGGGAGCAAACAGGAUUAGAUACCCCUGUAGUCCCUGUCUCUUAUAC